UGGACAUGAAGGCGUUGCGCUUUGCAGCGCUUGUCCGCGCAUACCGCCGGUGGUGGUGAAGGAUGCGGACUCUGACGCUGUGUUCGCUCCUCUCCUCUCCUCUCCUCAGUGGAGCAUCUGCUUCCCGAAGAGGACAGUCCACUGCGCCACUCGCCCUCGUCAGAGACUCCAGCGCAGAGGGAUUUGUGAUCCACGCCAGUGAAAUAAGACCAGAUGUAUACAGCCUGUGGUGAAAACAGCAGGAUGCACAUGGAUAUUUGAAAAACUGACACUUACAGGAAAGAACAACGUCCAGUACGAUGGCCCAGACACUUGAAUCUCCCUUCUCCAGCUGAGUGCUUUAUCAAACCUCCAAAUGACAGAUUCCAAAUUCCCCGGAAUCAUUCUACAAUAGCAUAAAGGGUCUUAUGUCAUCCCAGUGUGUGGCCUUGCCCAGUCGACCGUGAAGUAAGGUCCCUCCGCAUAUACGGUAAUAAGAUGCUCUGCUU